AAAUUUUCAGCCUUGAAAAAAGCACACAAAAAAAAUUUAAAAUGAUAUCCACAGCCCCUGAUAAAAUAUUUGUUCACUCUCUCCCAGAAACUGAGAAAGCAUAGAGCUGAAAGAGCUCGACGAUCAUGGAAAUCUCAGCUCGACGAUCAUGGAAAUCGCACAGCUCCGAUUAGGUUCGGAUUGAUCUCGGCAAUUUGUGACUCUUCGUCUCUCUUGGCGUUGUGUUCUCAGUUCCAAUUAGAAAACUGAGAAAUGGAAGUCACUCUUUCUCUCAUUCUCUCAGCAAUGGUGUUCAAGGUUUCUCGCGUCGAGACCAAGCCAAUCGAUGGCCAAAAGCCUGGUACCUCUGGUCUCCUCAAGAAGUUACUUUUGCAACUCUGGGGGAGAAGACCACAGUGAUGUCACCUGAAGUAUUUAUCAGUGUGGGGUUCUGUGUUGCAGAAACUUGAAGACACCCAUAAUGGCUAAAAUAUUCAAUUGUAGUAGCUGAUAACUUCUUGUUUUGGAGAUGAUGAUGAAGAAUAAAAUGUAUCAAAACUUUUAACUCUUGGACAGAUUUGGUCUUUGUAUAGUGUGGUGGUUGAUAUCUUUUCUCUUAAACAAUAAUUGACAUAUCACUUUUAAGACCA